AGAGUUUGAUCAUGGCUCAGAACGAACGCUGGCGGCAUGCCUAACACAUGCAAGUCGAACGAUGCUUUCGGGCAUAGUGGCGCACGGGUGCGUAACGCGUGGGAAUCUGCCCCUUGGUUCGGAAUAACAGUUAGAAAUGACUGCUAAUACCGGAUGACGACGUAAGUCCAAAGAUUUAUCGCCGAGGGAUGAGCCCGCGUAGGAUUAGCUAGUUGGUGUGGUAAAGGCGCACCAAGGCGACGAUCCUUAGCUGGUCUGAGAGGAUGAUCAGCCACACUGGGACUGAGACACGGCCCAGACUCCUACGGGAGGCAGCAGUGGGGAAUAUUGGACAAUGGGCGCAAGCCUGAUCCCAGCAAUGCCGCGUGAGUGAUGAAGGCCUUAGGGUUGUAAAGCUCUUUUACCCGUGAUGAUAAUGACAGUAGCGGGAGAAUAGGCCCCGGCUAACUCCGUG
rnacentral:rRNA from 1 species